rnacentral:lncRNA from 1 species
GGCUUCUGCCUACAAUAAUCAAAGUAUGCCAACUCUGGGCUUGAGGCUGCAGGGAUAAUAAAACUACAUCUCCCAGAAUGCUUCUCUCCGUCCUCCACAUCUGCUUCCUCCUUUCCUUUUGACAAAGCCAUUUCUGACGCAGAGUAGAGAGCUUUUCAGGCUGACCGCCGCCUAUUCAAGAAGAUGGUGUGACUCGUAAUUGGUGGUAGGUGAAGAGUUUCAAAAGAAAAAAAGGGGGCCAGCACUUGCUUUCUGGGGUGGGUGGGUGGGAGGAGCAGGGGACCCUGACAGGUGAGAAGAGAAAGCUGGCAAGGAAUGGGCUUAACCUAAACAGCAUUUGGAAAUCAAACUCCCAAAUUAACUACACAGUAAUGUUCCGGUUAGUCCAGAUCUUGGAGGACAUUCCUGAUUUUUUCCUCCCUCUUUCCAAUUUAGCCUGCCGUUAUGUGGCUAGGAAAAUAGCAUCGGCCCUGCGCGCUGAGGAUGUGGAAGAGACCAUGCUGGCUUGCAAGAACCGGACAACUCUAACUGGUAUCUCAAAAAAGCCAGCAGGGUCUGAAUCCAUUCCUCGCUCAGUCAGCGAAAAAUAUCCUCAUGCGGUUAGGUCCGAAGUCAGAACCCGGGAACCAAACUCCUGAUGAAAUAAAAUAAAAAGGACAGCGGAGCGGGAAAAUGACGGCUUGUUUGACGAAAUCCUGCAGCUGCAGGAAGUGAACAGUCCUGAGAAUCCCUUAUUCUGCCCGUCUUUCGUUGUUCCGCUAUGAAAAUAAAUUUAAAUAAAGAAGCGUUUCAUGCAUUUUUUUUAAAAAAAGAGUGAGUGUUUAACAAAAGAUGAUUUGGCCGCUAAUGAGGGGAGUGAUUUUGCAAUGUAGAAUUCAGAUUAAUUUAUUUUUUUUUGACAAUAUUACAGAGCGAUCUGAGAUUGGUAGUUUCAGAGAUAGGUUUUGGCAAAUUGAAGCAAUGGAAUGGAAACACAAUACACUACCUCAGUUUCCCUCCCUCAGAAGAUUUAAAAAGUUAUUAGGGUUCUUGCAAAAAAAGAAUUAAAAGUUUAAAAGAUCUAUUUUCUUAUUUAAUAAAGCUCGAGAUUUACCAAGCAGGCUUGAUGAAAAAUAGAGGCGGACUGACAUAUACUAAAGAUUCUUAAAGUUUUCAUAUUAAUUUUUGUUUUAAAGGUUUUAAAUGCUAUUACAAUGAAUUUAAUGUACAUUAUAGCAUAGAUUUAUGCUAUUUUUGUUAUUUAUUUUACUUAUUUAAUAACCUCUUUUUUAUUAAUAACAUAUUGUUCUUUUUUACAUAUACA